ACUCUACUAGGAUGAUGCACAAGAAAAGGUCA
rnacentral:tRNA from 25 species